rnacentral:rRNA from 1 species
GACGAACGCUGGCGGCGUGCCUAAUACAUGCAAGUAGAACGCACAGUUUAUACCGUAGCUUGCUACACCAUAGACUGUGAGUUGCGAACGGGUGAGUAACGCGUAGGUAACCUGCCUGGUAGCGGGGGAUAACUAUUGGAAACGAUAGCUAAUACCGCAUAAUAUUAAUUAUUGCAUGAUAAUUAAUUGAAAGGUGCAAUUGCACCACUACCAGAUGGACCUGCGUUGUAUUAGCUAGUAGGUGAGGUGACGGCUCACCUAGGCGACGAUACAUAGCCGACCUGAGAGGGUGAUCGGCCACACUGGGACUGAGACACGGCCCAGACUCCUACGGGAGGCAGCAGUAGGGAAUCUUCGGCAAUGGACGAAAGUCUGACCGAGCAACGCCGCGUGAGUGAAGAAGGUUUUCGGAUCGUAAAGCUCUGUUGUAAGAGAAGAACGGGUGUGAGAGUGGAAAGUUCACACUGUGACGGUAUCUUACCAGAAAGGGACGGCUAACUACGUG